GAUGAACGCUGGCGGCGUGCCUAAUACAUGCAAGUCGAGCGAACAGACGAGGAGCUUGCUCCUUUGACGUUAGCGGCGGACGGGUGAGUAACACGUGGGUAACCUACCUAUAAGACUGGGAUAACUUCGGGAAACCGGAGCUAAUACCGGAUAAUAUUUCGAACCGCAUGGUUCGAUAGUGAAAGAUGGCUUUGCUAUCACUUAUAGAUGGACCUGCGCCGUAUUAGCUAGUUGGUAAGGUAACGGCUUACCAAGGCAACGAUACGUAGCCGACCUGAGAGGGUGAUCGGCCACACUGGAACUGAGACACGGUCCAGACUCCUACAGGAGGCAGCAGUAGGGAAUCUUCCGCAAUGGGCGAAAGCCUGACGGAGCAACGCCGCGUGAGUGAUGAAGGUCUUCGGAUCGUAAAACUCUGUUAUUAGGGAAGAACAAACGUGUAAGUAACUGUGCACGUCUUGACGGUACCUAAUCAGAAAGCCACGGCUAACUACGUG
rnacentral:rRNA from 1 species